UGGUGUCACAUGUGUGGUUGGCUGCAGCCCUGAACUUCCCAGAGAGCUCUGAGAAUUCUAAGAAAUGCACUGAAAAGAGAACUUCUAAGCCUGUGCUUUGUAUAUGGCUUUUUUUAAGGGCUUCAAAGGAAUGUGAUCCUGAGGCUAACUGAGCCAACAACACCAAGGACAAGGUCAUCCUGGCUGAAACCGCUGCCGUGGACUCUCGUCCCACCUUUCAAUUUUGUGAUGAAUGCAAAAUAUCCCACGCUUGCUUCCUAUUUUUGCCAGACAGCCUCUGGGAGUGACCACAAGAUUCUCAUAUGUUGUCAUUAACUGUGAUGUGUCAACUUGGGCUUCCAGAGCAGACUCUCCAGCCUUCCUACACAGAUCCUCAGAUUUCUGACUUAGAAUCUUCCUGGACUCAUUAAUGACCUUCAGGCCUUUGACUUUCAACUGAGUCCCUGGCCUUUCAGCAGGCAGAUGGCCAUUUUUCAUUCUUACACUUCUGAUUUGCCAGAUGGCCACUGGGAAUCUUUGACUUCUUUUUUUUUUUUUUUUUUUGAGUGUUAAUUAAGUUUAUUUACCUUUUUCCAAACAUAUACAAUAUUAAAUAUAAGCUAAAAGCAAUAUAUAGUUCUUAGAAAAUACUACCCAAUGGCCCCAUUCAUUGUCUGAGAUUCGUGAUUAUAAUGUGCUCAGCCUUUGUUCUUCCAGAAUGUUAGUGAACGUGUUGCUCAAAACAAGCAUAGAGUCACAGGAAACCUCCCCUAAAUAAAUUUUGUUAUUAUAAAACAAAUCCAAAGAGAGGCCUCUAAUGUCUUCAUUCAGGUAUCUGGAAUUUCAAAAUGGAAAUAAUUACUGAAGGAGCAAGCAGUGCUGUCCUAUCUAACACUA